UGACGUCAUCUACCUGCGUUGCACUCUCUCUCACUCAGGUGUUUGAUGGCAGACUGAGACUGGUGUGUUGCAGACGUCCAUCUGUAUUAAUGCUGCUGCAUUAUUGUGUUUAUUUCAUGCAGAGGAAUAAAUACGCCACAGUUUCGGUUAAAGACAACAACCGAAUCUCCUUGUCCAUCAAACACGCUCAACACAACGCAGAGUCGUAGCAAGGGUCUGCUGAGAAGCAGGCCCAGACCAGCUACACUGGCACACAUGGCUGAAGCAGAGCGUGAAAUGAAAAGCGAGAGAACAGCAUGAAAUGUGACCAAAGUUGGGGAAAAUGGACAUAUUUAUCCUUUUGUUUUUUUGAAGAAGGCCUGGGAAAUAAUGGCACAAUUUUUACAUAAAGCCAUGCAAUCUUCACAAACACUGCUGAUAUUAUGCUCAUAUUUACACCCUGCUCUUGUUUUACGCCGUGUAAUAAUGGAUCAUUGUCACCGACUGAUGUACGACGGACACAGGUCUGCUGUUGUUGCAGUCUGAUGUGUAAAUGUGGGGGGAAAUAAUAGGAAUUAUCCAUAAACAGGCAAAAUACUGAAAUAUUUUACUUACUGAGGCCCAGUUUUCUCAGCAAAUGUAAUUAUGACAUCUUUUUUCUUGUAUUUUGUAAUUUUCUUUUGGUUAAAUGUUUGCACUCGACCCUUGACCCAAUGUAUUAUGGUUAUUUUUGCAAUUACACCAUAGCUCCUGUUUAUUCCGACAUAACAUUUUCAUAUUUUUAGAAUGAUUUAAAAAUCCAUCACAGUUCUGAUCAAUCUCCAUUGCUUUAGCAUGUUAGCAUUAGCAUUACUAAAGCUUCCUCUCCUAUUGGACCAAAAAACGGCUGCUAAAAUCGCCAUUCAUUCCCAGGACUGUGCAGAUGAACUGUAUACUAAUGCUUGAUAGGAAAAGGCUAAGCAUACACACAGGCUUUGAGAGUGUUGGUUGAAGCAGGAUUACGUAAUCAGGAUACCAAAAUACAGGCUACAGUAUUCCCUUAAACAAGACUUAGUCAGAUAACUGUUAUAUGGCUAAACAUGAGGGAUUACUAGCAGAAUUACAAUGUUAAAUUGCAUUUUUCA